rnacentral:rRNA from 1 species
UACGUAGGGGGCAAGCGUUGUUCGGAAUUACUGGGCGUAAAGGGCGCGUAGGCGGCCUGUUAAGUCGAACGUGAAAUCCCCGGGCUCAACCCGGGAACUGCGUCCGAUACUGGCAGGCUUGAAUUCGGGAGAGGGAUGUGGAAUUCCAGGUGUAGCGGUGAAAUGCGUAGAUAUCUGGAGGAAUACCGGUGGCGAAGGCGGCAUCCUGGACCGACAUUGACGCUGAACGGCGAAAGCUAGGGGAGCAAACGGG